AGUGAACGCUGGCGGUAGGCCUAACACAUGCAAGUCGAACGGCAGCACAGUAAGAGCUUGCUCUUACGGGUGGCGAGUGGCGGACGGGUGAGGAAUACAUCGGAAUCUACUUUUUCGUGGGGGAUAACGUAGGUAAACUUACGCUAAUACCGCAUACGACCUACGGGUGAAAGCAGGGGAUCUUCGGACCUUGCGCGAUUGAAUGAGCCGAUGUCGGAUUAGCUAGUUGGCGGGGUAAAGGCCCACCAAGGCGACGAUCCGUAGCUGGUCUGAGAGGAUGAUCGGCCAACCUGGAACUGGAACACGGCCCAGACUCCUCCGGGGGGAAGCGGGGGGGAAUAUGGGACAAGGGGGGCAACCCUGACCCAGCCAUACCGGGGGGGGGAAGAAGGCCUUGGGGUUUUAAAGCCCUUUUGUUGGGAAAAAAAAGCAGCAGGUUAAUACCCCGCUGUUCUGACGGCACCAAAAGAAUAAGCACCGGCUAACUUCGU
rnacentral:rRNA from 1 species